rnacentral:rRNA from 1 species
AGCAGCCGCGGUAAUUCCAGCUCCAAUAGCGUAUAUUAAAGUUGUUGCAGUUAAAAAGCUCGUAGUUGAAUUUCGGGAUUAGUACGUUGGUCGUGCCUUCGGUACGUACUGGUGUUACUGGUUCCUACCUUCUGACGAACCAUCAUGUCAUUAAUUUGGUGUGGUGGGGAAUCAGGACUGUUACUUUGAAAAAAUUAGAGUGUUUAAAGCAGGCUCGCGCUUGAAUACAUUAGCAUGGAAUAAUGAAAUAGGACGUUGACCCUAUUUUGUUGGUUUCUAGGAUUGACGUAAUGAUUAAUAGGGAUAGUUGGGGGCAUUAGUAUUCAAUUGUCAGAGGUGAAAUUCUUGGAUUUAUUGAAGACUAACUACUGCGAAAGCAUUUGCCAAGGAUGCUUUCAUUAAUCAAGAACGAAAGUUAGGGGAUCGAAGACGAUCAGAUACCGUCGUAGUCUUAACCAUAAACUAUGCCGACUAGGGAUCGGAUGAUGUUAUUUUUAAUGACUCA